rnacentral:rRNA from 1 species
GAUGAACGCUAGCUACAGGCUUAACACAUGCAAGUCGAGGGGAAACGAUAUUGGAAGCUUGCUUCCGAUAGGCGUCGACCGGCGCACGGGUGAGUAACGCGUAUCCAACCUGCCCACCACUUGGGGAUAACCUUGCGAAAGUAAGACUAAUACCCAAUGAUAUCUCUAGAAGACAUCUGAAAGAGAAUAAAGAUUUAUCGGUGAUGGAUGGGGAUGCGUCUGAUUAGCUUGUUGGCGGGGUAACGGCCCACCAAGGCGACUAUCAGUAGGGGUUCGGAGAGGAAGGUCCCCCACAUUGGACCUGGGACACGGUCAAAACUCCUACGGGAGGCAGCAGUGGGGAAUAUUGGUCAAUGGACGAGAGUCUGAACCAGCCAAGUAGCGUGCAGGAUGACGGCCCUAGGGGUUGUAAACUGCUUUUAUAAGGGAAUAAAGUGAGCCUCGUGAGGCUUUUUGCAUGUACCUUAUGAAUAAGGACCGGCUAAUUCCGUGCCAGCCGCCGCCGUAA